GGAACCAUCAAAGUGUCGGACUACAUGGAUGCAGCUGAAAGAGUGUGCGGGGGGGCGUCGGUCCCGGGGGGGGGUCCGUUCCUGUGUCUGGACCUGGUCUACGUGUCCGUCCUCCUGCAGCAGCUCGGCUUCCCGCCUCACAAGCACCUGAAGCUGGCGAGGACCAUCAAGCAGGUGGAGACCAGCUGGGCUCUCGGAGCGACGUUCCACUACAUCGAGUCCCUGAAGGGAAACUGACCUCUGACCUCCUUGACCUGUGGCUCUCAGCUGACAGUGGGCGGAGUCAGUGGUACCUGCUCGCCACCUGCAGCUGUCAGGCCUCACUACUGCACCUGGGUCACGUGACCGCUCUGACCGUCCAAUCACACGCUGCUUCCUGUUCAGGUGGAUCCAGCCUUGUUUUCUGACCUCGUGGAAACACUCCGACCCGGGAUCCGGUUUCAUGUUCUGGGUUUUAACGAUUUAUAGUGUUUGAAUGUUUUUGUGCCAAAAGUAAAAAUUAUCAAGUAACUUCAGAAGAGAGAAACUUUUCUGAAGCUGAAUGUUUGUUUUUAAAAGCUCUGGUGGGUGAAUUCAACUUUAUAUCAUGAAGUCUCGUCCUUCAUAACUUCUGUCUUUAAAUAAAGUUUAUUUAAUCAAC